ACUGACUUCCUUCGCACUCAGCCCACUCGCACCCGGGUGAAUAAACAGCCUUUGUUGCUCACACUUAGCCUGUUCAAGUUGUCUCUUCAAUUAGAUGCUCGCAUAACAUUUGGUGCCGAAAGCCCGGGAUAGGGGAACUCCUCCGGCAGACCUCUCCUCUAUCCUCCCGGUACCCACGUUCUCCCAUGCAAGAGACUUCCCUCGCCCUCAGGACCUCAGACCAGCUCCGCGAGCACUCCGGCCUCUGUCUAUGGAUAUGGUAAGCUGCCUCGGUCUCUCCUCAUCUCUCCCUCUCUUUUUCUCUUUUCAAAAUUGAGACAAAGAACCUUCCUCUUAUCCGUGUUUCAGAAAUCCAACACCGGUCACGGACUCUUCUUGGGGAGACAGCCUUCCUUCAGUGUUCGGUCAAUGCCCGGGACGCCCGCCUUGGCCAUUUGCCAGCCACACAACCCAGGACCUCCAAUGGGGACGCCCACUGAGGAUCCUAGUGGUUGCUCUUUUCCUUGUCUCUUUCUUUCCCCCCAGUCUUUCCUUGUUCUAUCAUGGGCAAUUUCCCGCCUUCCAUCCCUCUUUCUUCUGUCUGGCUUGUGUCCUCAGAAACCUCAAACCUCUUCACCUUGCACCCAAUCUAAAGGCUAAACGUCUAAUUUUUUUCUGUAACACGUCCUGGCCCCAGUAUAAAUUAGAAAAUGGCGCUCAGUGGCCAGAAAACAGCACUUCCAAUUUCUCUAUUUUGUGGGACUUAGACAACUUCUAUGGAAAAAUGGGCAAAUGGGUCUGAGGUACCCUACUUCCAGGCAUUUUUUACAUACGAUCUCUCCCUAGCCUAUGCUUCCAAUGUAAUCCAUCCCCAAUUUUCCUUAUUUCCCUUCUGUCUACCCCUCCUUCUUCCACUGGCGAUGCUGACUCCUCUUUGUCUGUUGACCCCUCCGAUCUUUCUCCCCCACCACCUAUCCGAACCUGCUUCUAAUUCUCCCCCAGAACCUAUUUCUACCCACAAUCCACCCUCUUAUGCCCCUCCCAUUACCACCCUUCCUCACAUCCUCUAUGGCUUACAGUUUGGGCCUGCGACCAACCCCCAGGCCCCUGCCUAGCAAUUUCCCCUCGGAGAGGUGGCAGGAACCAAAGGAAUAGUUCGGGUUCAGGUCCCUUUCUCCCUGUUCGACCUUUCCCAAAUUAGUGAACAUCUAGGCUCUUUCCCAUCUGACCCCACCAAAUAUAUACGAGAAUUCCAAUACUUAACCCAGUCCUAUAAUCUUACUUGGAAUGACUUAAAUGUCAUCCUUACCUCUACCCUCGCUCCUGAGGAGUGAGAGUGGGUUUGGAUCCUAGCUCAAUCUUAGGCUGAUAACCGCCGGUGCCGUAAGCCUGGCCUCCAGUAAGGUGCUAGGGCAGUACCCUGUGAAGACCCCGGAUGGACUUACCAGGCCCUGGGACCCAGGCAUAGCCAGGCGGGACUACAUGAUCUCUUGCCUAGUUAAAGGGCUUCAGAAGGCUGCAUAUAAAGCCGUCAAUUAUGACAAACUAAAAAACAAAAACAAAAACAAAAAAAACCACUCAGAACAAAGAUAAAAA
ensembl:lncRNA novel transcript